ensembl:antisense 4921513I08Rik RIKEN cDNA 4921513I08 gene
AUGGGAUGGAGUUGAUGUUUAUCAUAGCCACCAACUGUUGGCACAGGAAAGAGGGUCUUGCCAUGUAGCCUGAACUUGGGAACAUUCCUGGCUGAGCCCUUUUCAAUAGUAAGCACAGCAAAAGAGAACUAGAAGCUAAUUCCUUAUCUUCCUCUUUUCACCCCAAAAUGUAGUGGGCAUUUCCCUUCUAGUCUUGUCCUCUACAUGAGCCAGCUCCUGUGAGAACUUUAGCCUUGCAGAUGGGGUUCAGAUGGGCUCUUCACCAAGACAGGCACCUGCUGCCAUUUCUCCUCGGUGAGAUUCACAGAUUUAUACAGGAGAAAGAUGGGUCAUCACCGCAUGAACAAAUGCCCCUCACCUGUAUAUCACUGGCUUCCUGUUAUCUUCAGCAUGAAAUCCCAACUUCUUAAAGGUCAUGGACACAAGAUGUCAGCUCUGCCCAUCUCUUUCUACUUCUUCUCCCCAACUCUAUGCAUCCUCUCAUUUACUUUCUUCGAUCUCACUGGCCUUUCUACGCCCUUGAAACUUUUCAUCUGAUGAAGAUCAAAUGGUCAUAAAGGCCUUCAACAGAGCUGCAGAGAUGUAACCAGGCAGCCGAGGGAGUACCGGCCAUCAAUUCUGAUAAGUAUAUUCACUGGUGUCUGGUCACCUACAGAGAUACUUCUGUCCCCAAGAGUUUGGGACAUAAACUUACCAGGAAUCCACUGUGAUGACCCACAAAUUUACUCAUGAUAUUUAAAUCUGAUCAUGUCAUCACUUGGUGUAAUGAAACACUAUAAAAAACAUAAUUAAAUAUGAGUAGGAGCCAGGCCAUUUCCUUAGCCCUCAGGAUGAAUACUUUGUGAAGACAUUCUAAAUGUCAAUGA